AGUCCUCUCUCCAGCCCCGGCCACAACAUGCUGGUCCUGGUCCAGCUGUUGUGGCUGCUCCUAGCUCUCACAGGAUGCGAGGGUGCGGUGCAGCUGGUGGAGUCCGGAGGAGGCGUGAAAUAUCCAGGGGAAUCUCUGCAUCUCUCGUGCCAGGCCUCAGGGUUCAACUUUAGGGACUAUAGUAUGUACUGGUACCGAGAGGCUCCAGGAAAGUCCAUUGAGUUUGUCGCCGGCAUCAGUAGUGGGGAUGGGAGUGAUAUAAGGUACGCGGAUGCAGUGAGGGGACGAUUCACCAUCUCCAGGGACAAUGCCAACAGCAGGCUGUACCUGCAGAUGGACAGUCUAAAAGUGGAGGACACCGCCCGGUACAUCUGCUCUGCACCCAGUGAGGAGAAACAGGUGGGGCCCAGACAUAAACCCCUCAACUCCUCCCAUACCAAAGGCCAGGAAGCUAUUGGGGCAGCCGUUGCCACCGCUGAACAAAAGCAUCAGAGAAGAAGUAGAGGACACCAGAAAUCUCCCUUUUUUCUGCUACCUGCCUCCAGGAAGAGAAUUGAGUUGGCUGGCUCCUUUUGGCCAUAUUGUAUCAUUCUGCCUCCCUACUGACCAUCCCAGGGAAGAACAGGGUUGGACAAAGUUCAAGGUGUGGGAGAGCAGAGCUUUGGAGACCCAUUGCAAGCUGAGGGGAUGAACUCAUGGGUGAGUAGAACCUGUAUUUACAGAAGCCUAGUCCUCAAACCAGGCCACUCCCAAGCCUGAGCAGUCUUCCAUCACCAGUUCUGCCAAAGUGAUGUGGCUUGGGUGUGACUAAGGAUGAAUCAGAAGAGAAAUGUCCCCUUCAGGGUAUUAUCUACUCAUGAUCCACACUUUGUGUUAAACAUCAGGAACUUUUUGAUAAAGGAUAUUGACAUCUAUUGGCCACUUUCCAAGUUCAUUUAUCUGUAUCCCAUUGCUACCCCUCCACAGAGAAGUAUAGAGUUGAAAACACCCAAACAGCAGCUCAUUCCAGUCCAAGCGUCUUUAUUCUAUUCCCUUGCAGGAGACUUCAGAGCAUGUCAGCAGGUAAAGGUGCUGAGCACAUGUGGCCUACAAAUUUGGCAUUAUAUAACUUCUGGCUGUGUGUGCAAUCUCUUUUCCAGGCAAUUACCCUGUUGUAAGUCCUCCCUGGUCUUCCAUUUGUUGCUAGAUCAUCAGUAUGUUCCAGCAUCAAAACAGUGUUUGCUCCUCCUGGGGGGAUUCACUCGAUCUGUGACCUUUGGACAUUUGAUAUUUGCCUCAUCCCCACCUCUACAGCACUU